GAUGGCUUCAGCUACCUGGCCGCCAUGGGUCUAGGCGCCCGUAAAGCCAGGUGCAGGAGGAUGGGGUUCCCAGUCCUGCCAGAACAGCCUACAAUCUUGGAAUCAGACUGCCUGGGUUCAGUUCUUACAAGCUGCUGUGGCUUUGGAAUGGCUCUGACCAGCUGACUAGGCCAGCAUUGAGGAUAAGCC